rnacentral:rRNA from 1 species
GACGAACGCUGGCGGCGUGCCUAAUACAUGCAAGUCGAACGAAGCUGUUUUAACUGGUGCUUGCACCGACUUAAACAACUGAGUGGCGAACGGGUGAGUAACACGUGGGUAACCUGCCCCAAAGCGGGGGAUAACAUUUGGAAACAGAUGCUAAUACCGCAUAACCACAGAAACCACAUGGUUUCUGUGUAAAAGAUGGUUUCGGCUAUCACUUCGGGAUGGACCCGCGGCGUAUUAUCUAGUUGGUAAGGUAAUGGUUUACCAAGGCAAUGAGACGUAGCCGAACUGAGAGGUUGAUCGGCCACAUUGGGACUGAGACCCGGCCCAAACUCCUACGAGAGGCAGCAGUAGGGAAUCUUCCACAAUGGACGAAAGUCUGAUGGAGCAACGCCGCGUGAGUGAAGAAGGUUUUCGGAUCGUAAAACUCUGUUGUCAGAGAAGAACGUGUGCGAGAGUAACUGUUCGUGCAGUGACGGUACCUGGCCAGAAAGCCACGGCUAACUACGUGCCAGCCGCCGCUGUAA